GACGAACGCUGGCGGAGUGCCUAAUACAUGCAAGUAGAACGCAGUUGCGAAAGGGUGUGUAACGCGUAGGUAACUGCCUCAUAGCGGGGUAUAACUAUUGGAAACGUUAGCUAAUACCGCAUACUGUGAGAUGGACCUUCGUUUUAUUAGGUAGUUGGUGAGGUAAAGGCUAACCAAGGCGACGAUACAUAGCCGACCUGAGAGGGUGAUGUGACAAGCUGCGAAUGAGGAAAGGCCCAGGCGCCUUCGGGAGGCAGCAGUAGGGAAUUGUUGGGAAUGGACGGAAAUCGGACCUAGCAACGCCGCGGGGGUGAAUGAGGUUUUCGGAGCGUAAAGCUCUGUUGGUAGAGAAGCGGUAACUAACCAGAAAGGCACGGCUAACUACGCGCCAGCAGCCGCGGUAAUAC
rnacentral:rRNA from 1 species